rnacentral:rRNA from 1 species
CGCGGCCUAUCAGCUUGUUGGUGAGGUAACGGCUCACCAAGGCCUCGACGGGUAGCUGGUCUGAGAGGAUGUCCAGCCACACUGGGACUGAGACACGGCCCAGACUCCUACGGGAGGCAGCAGUUAGGAAUCUUGCGCAAUGGACGAAAGUCUGACGCAGCGACGCCGCGUGCGGGAUGAAGGCCCUCGGGUUGUAAACCGCUUUCAGCAGGGACGAAAUUGACGGUACCUGCAGAAGAAGCCCCGGCCAACUACGUGCCAGCAGCCGCGGUAAUACGUAGGGGGCUAGCGUUGUCCGGAUUUAUUGGGCGUAAAGAGCUCGUAGGUGGUUCGGUAAGUCGGAUGUGAAAUCUCCAGGCUCAACCUGGAGGGGUCAUUCGAUACUGCCGUGACUAGAGUUCGGUAGAGGAGUGUGGAAUUCCUGGUGGAGCGGUGAAAUGCGCAGAGAUCAGGAGGAACACCCGUAGCGAAGGCGGCACUCUGGGCCGAUACUGACACUGAGGAGCGAAAGCGUGGGGAGCGAACAGGAUUAGAUACCCUGGUAGUCCACGCCGUAAACGUUGGGCACUAGGUGUGGGGUUCUAUCGACGGAUUCCGUGCCGUAGCUAACGCAUUAAGUGCCCCGCCUGGGGAGUAC